rnacentral:ncRNA from 1 species
UAACAAGGUUUUGUUCUCGAGUAACGAGGAUGGAUAUUGAUCCUUCCGCGGUGACACUCACAGAAGCCUUUGCAGCCUCGCAAGAGUUUGGCGCGACAGUAAAGAAUGCCUGGAUGCAAGUCAGCGACGCUGGCAACACUUUCGAAUUGCGGGGACGUCCUUAGAGCUCAGUUCUACCAACCAGUGAGGGAAACCUCCGCUGGGGCCUAUGCUAAAAACAUGGGAGAUGGUAAGAAGGAACUGAGAUUGGAUAAUCCGCAGCCAAGCCCUAAGGUGUGGAAGCACUAUGGGACAGGUUCACAGACUAAGUGGAAGUGGGUGGCAUGCGUUAAGGCGUGUGCUGCUUAAGAUAUAGUCGGUCUUGCUGAGAAAUCAUCAAGAAGUCACUGCACAGAUUGAACGUUCCGUA